GAUGAACGCUGGCGGCGUGCCUAAUACAUGCAAGUCGAGCGAACGGACGAGAAGCUUGCUUCUCUGAUGUUAGCGGCGGACGGGUGAGUAACACGUGGAUACCCUACCUAUAAGACUGGGAUAACUUCGGGAAACCGGAGCUAAUACCGGAUAAUAUUUUGAACCGCAUGGUUCAAAAGUGAAAGUCGGUCUUGCUGUCACUUAUAGAUGGAUCUGCGCUGCAUUAGCUAGUUGGUACGGUAUCGGCUUACCAAGGCAACGAUGCAUAGCCGACCUGAGAGGGUGAUCGGCCACACUGGGACUGAGACACGGUACAGACUCCUACGGGAGGCAGCAGUAGGGAAUCUUCCGCAAUGGGCGAAAGCCUGACGGAGCAACGCCGCGUGAGUGAUGAAGGUCUUCGGAUCGUAAAACUCUGUUAUUAGGGAAGAACAUAUGUGUAAGUAACUGUGCACAUCUUGACGGUACCUAAUCAGAGAGCCACGGCUAACUACGUU
rnacentral:rRNA from 1 species